rnacentral:rRNA from 1 species
CGAACGCUGGCGGCGUGCUUAACACAUGCAAGUCGAACGGAAAGGCCCUGCUUUUGUGGGGUGCUCGAGUGGCGAACGGGUGAGUAACACGUGAGUAACCUGCCCUUGACUUUGGGAUAACUUCAGGAAACUGGGGCUAAUACCGGAUAGGAGCUCCUGCUGCAUGGUGGGGGUUGGAAAGUUUCGGCGGUUGGGGAUGGACUCGCGGCUUAUCAGCUUGUUGGUGGGGUAGUGGCUUACCAAGGCUUUGACGGGUAGCCGGCCUGAGAGGGUGACCGGCCACAUUGGGACUGAGAUACGGCCCAGACUCCUACGGGAGGCAGCAGUGGGGAAUAUUGCACAAUGGGCGGAAGCCUGAUGCAGCAACGCCGCGUGCGGGAUGACGGCCUUCGGGUUGUAAACCGCUUUCGCCUGUGACGAAGCGUGAGUGACGGUAAUGGGUAAAGAAGCACCGGCUAACUACGUGCCAGCAGCCGCGGUGAUACGUAGGGUGCGAGCGUUGUCCGGAUUUAUUGGGCGUAAAGGGCUCGUAGGUGGUUGAUCGCGUCGGAAGUGUAAUCUUGGGGCUUAACCCUGAGCGUGCUUUCGAUACGGGUUGACUUGAGGAAGGUAGGGGAGAAUGGAAUUCCUGGUGGAGCGGUGGAAUGCGCAGAUAUCAGGAGGAACACCAGUGGCGAAGGCGGUUCUCUGGGCCUUUCCUGACGCUGAGGAGCGAAAGCGUGGGGAGCGAACAGGCUUAGAUACCCUGGUAGUCCACGCUGUAAACGGUGGGUACUAGGUGUGGGGUCCAUUCCACGGGUUCCGUGCCGUAGCUAACGCUUUAAGUACCCCGCCUGGGGAGUACGGCCGCAAGGCUAAAACUCAAAGGAAUUGACGGGGCCCCGCACAAGCGGCGGAGCAUGCGGAUUAAUUCGAUGCAACGCGUAGAACCUUACCUGGGUUUGACAUGGAUCGGGAGUGCUCAGAGAUGGGUGUGCCUCUUUUGGGGUCGGUUCACAGGUGGUGCAUGGCUGUCGUCAGCUCGUGUCGUGAGAUGUUGGGUUAAGUCCCGCAACGAGCGCAACCCUUGUUCACUGUUGCCAGCACGUUAUGGUGGGGACUCAGUGGAGACCGCCGGGGUCAACUCGGAGGAAGGUGGGGAUGACGUCAAGUCAUCAUGCCCCUUAUGUCCAGGGCUUCACGCAUGCUACAAUGGCUGGUACAGAGAGUGGCGAGCCUGUGAGGGUGAGCGAAUCUCGGAAAGCCGGUCUCAGUUCGGAUUGGGGUCUGCAACUCGACCUCAUGAAGUCGGAGUCGCUAGUAAUCGCAGAUCAGCAACGCUGCGGUGAAUACGUUCCCGGGGCUUGUACACACCGCCCGUCAAGUCAUGAAAGUUGGUAACACCCGAAGCCGGUGGCCUAACCGUUGUGGGGGAGCCGUCGAAGGUGGGACUGGUGAUUAGGACUA